AUCGCUUCUCGGCCUUUUGGCUAAGAUCAAGUGUAGUAUCUGUUCUUAUCAGUUUAAUAUCUGAUACGUCCCCUAUCUGGGGACCAUAUAUUAAAUGGAUUUUUGAGAACGGGGGCCGAUUUCGAAGCUUGCUUCCGUCGCCCUAAAACCAGAGACCUCGCAGAAAUAGCUGGUGUUCCUCA